UGUGUGUGUGUGUGUGUGUGUUUCUUCAAGCCCAUGUGUGUUUGUUUAUGCAAACCUGUCAUCAUCAUCAUUGUGCAGGUGUGUUUAUGCUGCCACUGUCUCUCAGGCCUCACUGUCACAGUCAUAACAGUAUCUCAUGAUAUGACAACGUUAGGUGUCAGUCAAAAAGUCAGUUAGUAUGCUGGGUGUGAUGGUGUGGAUGAACACCUGAUAUAUCGGAGGAAUGUGACAGAUGGAUGCUACUCUGAUGUGAACUUCAUGUUUAUUUUGUGUCUGUUGCAGGAUUACCCUGCAAAGCCAGCUGACACAUUUUUAGUUUGCUUACUCUUUUCUGGCAAGGCUUAGUGGACAUUUGCUUGGGACAGGCAUCAUUUCAGAUAGCCCGCACAAUAGAUGAUUUACGAGUGUAACGUUGAAUGUCCAGUCCAACAUGCCAGCUGUUCUUAAACGUUGUUAAUUUUCUUCCAAGCUAUCCCUAGAUGUUGGUUUCUGACUCAGUUUAUGUGAGAAAAUUAAAUGGCAGUUCAAGGUUUUGAGUUUUGAGUCAUGACGGAACUCUUGUAGCGAAAACUGAGCUUGCAAGAUUUAAGCUGGCUUCUUCGACUCCAGGAUUACACCCUCCUCUGGGCUCAGAAGAAUCUCUUAGACUUAUUACACCCCUCUAAAACCCUGGUGAAUAAACUUAAAACUGCAUCACCAUCAAGCUAAAACCAUGGCUGUUUAUCUGCAGAAACUGAUAAGUUAACUACAACUUUGAUGUGUUGUCUCUGGUGUGUGGUGCUGAAUUAGUCCGAGCAAAAUGAUAUUUGAAAAUUCUUGUUAUAUUUGUUGACUGCAAAUAAAGAAGCCUUAAUUUCUG